rnacentral:misc_RNA from 1 species
AGGCUAUAAUUUGAACCAAUAUCAUGAGAUCCAACACUGUGUGAAGGAGAUCUAAUUUCAUCAGGAUUCCUUGACUGUCCUCCUGACAUCUGCUUAUGAAAACUCAACUGCCUUUCCAGUCCAUUGGCCGUUUUAGAGCUUCCUUGCAAUGCGUGGCCAUUUGACAUACCUGGUAACGCUUGGGACUGAUGAAAAGAGCCAUUUCCAUUCAUCAAAACUCUUUGGUACAAGGGAACAUCUUUAAGCUUAGAAUCGUUUUGGGCCUGGCCCUGCCAAAUAGCUUGAUCAACUCCCUGAAAUAUGGGACGGCUGUGAACAGACUGCUCAUAGUUGUCCAUGUCCAAUGAAUUCUGCGUUAGAGAACAGCUUGGAUUGUGAAAAAAUGACUGAGAACCCGAAAAAGACAUUGAUGCGGUAAACCCAUCUGAAUUUGUACGAAAUGUGCUAAAGGACUGAAUACUUCUCCCAUGACUAGGGGAACCAGGAGCCUGCGAUGCAUCUUUAGCAGCACCAAUGGGUAACAGAACAUUUGGCAAGCUAAGGGAAAGAUCAAGUGGCUCCAAAACCAGCUUUUCAUCUUUUGGCUUACUAACACCUGAUUGCUCUGCUUUUUGUGCCCUUCUAACAGGAGAGCUAGUGAACAACUCAAAUCCCCUAGUACUUGGCCCUUCCAUAUCAUCUUCAUCCCUGGAAGUUGCAACAUUUCUGGAUUCUCUCUCAAUCCAUGCGCGAUCUUCUGGAGAAUCAGUAGCAUGGGUUGGUGAAACGGCCACACUUUUACCUUUAUCCUUCAAAUUUUGGCCUGAACCCUCCAUAACCAGGCCAGUAUCCACUUCAGCUCCCCCACUCUCCUCUUUAGCUUCUUUACUUGACUCUUGCACUUCCACAUCCUCCACCUUUGCCUCAAGAUCGAUACCCUUCUCUUGCCUACGUUUCUCUUCCAAAUUUAUAGUCUUCUCAACCACCAUUUCCUGACUUUCAUCCUCCUUGUACUCGCUCGGUUCCUUCAAACUCUGAACCUCCUCACCCCCUUCAUCACCGUCCACAUUGCCAACUUCAUCUUCACUAACACUAUCAUCAUUAAAAUUCUCCUCACAAUUUCGCGUCCCACCAACUUUUUCCUCCUCAGAAACACUUGCUUUAUCAAGUUCCUUUUCUACCUCCUCCACUUGAUCCUUUGCCUGUCUUUCGGGCUCAACCUCCCUGUGAUCAGCAUUGGACAAACUGGACAAAACAUUCUCUUGCCCUCCUCUUUCAUUGUCAUUUUCUUCUUCCUUGACAAUUUGAUGAGCUGAUUCAGGCUCUGGCUCAAGCUCCCCUUCUUCCAUUUCACUACUACUCCCACUAGCAACACUCUUCACCUCCAUUUCAAUACUCUUGCCCCCACUAGCAACACUCUUCACCUCCAUAUCUAUGCUCUUGGCAUCCAGUUCACUCUUCUUUCCUGCUUCCACGCUCUUUGAUUGCUCACUUCCGGAAUCCUUUGACCAUGUGGGUGAUGACCUCGACUUUGAAGUUGAUGAUCUCCCCUUCCCCUCAUCCCUCACACCACCUCUCACCACCCUGGUUUGCUCACUCCCAGAAUCCCUAGACCAUGUGGGCGACUUCACAUCCCUCAAUCCCUUAGGAGAAGACCUAGUAGCAGCACUCAUUCUAUCCUCAUUUCCACCUCUACUACCUCUACUCUCUUCAAAUUCCUUACUCCCACUCUCCAAGAUGAAACACUGCCUUCUCUUCUAGACCUGUCCCUCUCAGACCUAAAACCUUUAGGAAACUCCCUCCGGGACCCACAAAAGUUCUCGGAACGAUAAAUACUUCUAUCACUGCCACCACCCACUCCACCUCCACUAUACCCUUCUCUACUACUAUACCUAUCAAACCCUAAGCCUGCCCCUUUUCUCCGAUCAAAGCUAUCGAAAUCAUGAUCCGACCUCUUCCAUACCAUCCUGGAGCUGUCCCGACUAUCAUCAUCCAUAGAUCGAUCCCGAUCAUACCGGCUCGACGAAGAUGACGUGGAUAACAAUCCCUUCCGUACAUUAUCAGAUUUGU